AUUGAACGCUGGCGGCAGGCUUAACACAUGCAAGCCGAGCGGAGUGAUGGUGCUUGCACUAUCACUUAGCGGCGGACGGGUGAGUAAUGCUUAGGAAUCUGCCUAUUAGUGGGGGACAACAUCUCGAAAGGGAUGCUAAUACCGCAUACGUCCUACGGGAGAAAGCAGGGGAUCACUUGUGACCUUGCGCUAAUAGAUGAGCCUAAGUCGGAUUAGCUAGUUGGUGGGGUAAAGGCCUACCAAGGCGACGAUCUGUAGCGGGUCUGAGAGGAUGAUCCGCCACACUGGGACUGAGACACGGCCCAGACUCCUACGGGAGGCAGCAGUGGGGAAUAUUGGACAAUGGGGGGAACCCUGAUCCAGCCAUGCCGCGUGUGUGAAGAAGGCCUUAUGGUUGUAAAGCACUUUAAGCGAGGAGGAGGCUCUUUUGGUUAACACCCAAGAUGAGUGGACGUUACUCGCAGAAUAAGCACCGGCUAACUCUGUGCCAGCAGCCGCGGUAA
rnacentral:rRNA from 1 species